rnacentral:misc_RNA from 1 species
GAUGAAGAACGUAGCGAUAUGCGAUAAGUAAUGUGAAUUGCAGAAUUCAGUGAAUCAUCGAGUUUUUGAACGCAUAUUGCGCCCUCUGGUAUUCCGGGGGGCAUGCCUGUUCGAGCGUCAUUAAAUAACCCUCAAGCAUAGCUUGGUGUUGGGCUUUUUUACGUCCUUGACUGGGAUGGGCCUAAAAAUUAGUGGCGAUGGCUUUUUUACUUUCAAGCGUAGUAAAUCUCGUCUUGCUAAAGAGGAAAAAGAUUUUUUUUCUGCCAAAAAUUUUAACAUUUAAAGUUGACCUCGGAUCAGGUAGGAUUACCCGCUGAACUUAAGCAUAUCAAUAAGCGGAGGA